ACCCGAGCCCUCCUUCCCCGAUCUCCCCUCUCUUCCCUACUCUCUGUCUCUCUUGCGGACAAACCGACGCCGGCGGAAAUCUCCAUCCGGGGGCGUCCACAUCGCAUCGCCGGAGGACCACGUCGUCGGAGCUCGACGAAGCCGGCAGAGUCCAGUAUAUCUUUGGUCCCGUGACUGCUGUUCCGGUGAGUUUUGUUCCGAUCGUCGACAGCGAGUGGCAGCGGCGAUCUUACCAUAGACACCACCAAUCCGUGCCCUAGCUGUGAACGCGAAGGUCCAUCGCCGGUGCUUUGCCUUUGGAUCGUUGCUUUGUGAGAGCAGAUCGCUGAUCAAGAAGGGAGGUCUUAGCCCUAGCCUCGACCUUUCCUCUGCAUCGCCGGCUUGGAUCUACUGUCUUGGGUUCUAGCUUCCAUUUCGCACACGUAGGUUGUGCUGUUCUGGUGGUGGACAGCAGCUCGAUCCGGGCAGAGAGGAGGCUCUGUUCCUUUUGAUUGAGUGCUGUGGAUUAAUAUGCAUGGCUGAGAGCUAGAGGUACUAUCUUGUGGAUGUGAUCUUAGGUUCCCAGCAGCAUUUCUAGUUUCAACAGCAACAACAACUGGAAUCGAGGUAAGGUGUGUAGGGUGUGUUUUGUUUUAGAUGAUUGAUCUUAGUGUGGAUGAAUUAGGGUUUAUGUAUUGGUUGAGUAGUUGGAUGUAGAUUUGAUCUUAGAUGUAAACCAUUGUUGGAUUUGAUUUUUUAGGUUUGGAUUCUAGUAGUGGUUAUUUGUGAUUAGAUCUAAUUGCUUAGAUUAACCUAAAUGGAAUGA